rnacentral:tRNA from 1 species
UAGCUCAGUUGAUAGAGCAUGGUGCUUGCAAUGCCAGGGUACUGGGUUUGAUUCCCAG